rnacentral:tRNA from 3 species
GCCCAGGUGGUGAAAUUGGUAGACACGCUGUGUUCAGGUCGCAGUGAGCUUACGCUCGUGAGAGUUCGAGUCUCUCCCUGGGCACCA